rnacentral:rRNA from 1 species
AGAGUGAACGCUGGCGGUAGGCCUAACACAUGCAAGUCGAACGGCAGCACAGUGGUAGCAAUACCAUGGGUGGCGAGUGGCGGACGGGUGAGGAAUACAUCGGAAUCUACCUUUUCGUGGGGGAUAACGUAGGGAAACUUACGCUAAUACCGCAUACGCCCUUCGGGGGAAAGCCGGGGAUCGCAAGACCUGGCGCGGAUAGAUGAGCCGAUGUCGGAUUAGCUAGUUGGUGAGGUAAUGGCUCACCAAGGCGACGAUCCGUAGCUGGUCUGAGAGGAUGAUCAGCCACACUGGAACUGAGACACGGUCCAGACUCCUACGGGAGGCAGCAGUGGGGAAUAUUGGACAAUGGGCGCAAGCCUGAUCCAGCCAUACCGCGUGGGUGAAGAAGGCCUUGGUUGUAAAGCCCUUUGUGGAAAGAAAGCAAUCGGUUAAUACCCGGUUGUUCUGACGGUACCAAAGAAUAAGACAACCGCUAACUCGUGCCAGCAGCCG